CCUUAAACAAAUCAGAAGUGUUGUCUUUAAACACAAAAGUUUUUUUUUUUGUUUUGUUAUUUUGUCUUCCUGAAAAAUAACGCACUGAUUUGCCGGCUUGUGAGACAAAAUCAAAACAGCACUAAGUGACUAUGGAUGGAAAUACGCCUUUUAAAACUCCCAGCCAGUUCGGUUUUGGAAAUGGCUCCUGCUUUAACUGCUUGAAUGGUAACUGUCCCCGCAUGGAUGGAUCGGGCCAAUCGUCAUGUUGCCCUGGUGGCAAUUGCUGUCCCGGUGGUUAUUGCAUGCGUGAUAGGAACGCCGGGCAGCCGUCUUGGCAUGUUAACAAUGGACGUCAGCAAUAAAGAGCAUGACGCUUCCAUAUCCGGCAAAUCGGCGCGUGAUUUCAAUCAAUUGAUUCCAGAAUCGCGAAUUACUAACACCUCUCCCACCGGAUGGUAUUAUUUUUUAUACAAUGUGUUACAUUGAAGGCAUGACACCACACAAAUAAAUAUUAUAGAUGGUCCUCUUCUUGGAGAAAGAUACAACAACAAAA
rnacentral:sRNA from 1 species